GACGAACGCUGGCGGCGUGCUUAACACAUGCAAGUCGAACGGAAAGGCCCUGCUUUUGUGGGGUGCUCGAGUGGCGAACGGGUGAGUAACACGUGAGUAACCUGCCCUUGACUUUGGGAUAACUUCAGGAAACUGGGGCUAAUACCGGAUAGGAGCUCCUGCUGCAUGGUGGGGGUUGGAAAGUUUCGGCGGUUGGGGAUGGACUCGCGGCUUAUCAGCUUGUUGGUGGGGUAGUGGCUUACCAAGGCUUUGACGGGUAGCCGGCCUGAGAGGGUGACCGGCCACAUUGGGACUGAGAUACGGCCCAGACUCCUACGGGAGGCAGCAGUGGGGAAUAUUGCACAAUGGGCGGAAGCCGGAUGAAGCAACGCCGCGUGCGGGAUGACGGCCUUCGGGUUGUAAACCGCUUUCGCCUGUGACGAAGCGUGAGUGACGGUAAUGGGUAAAGAAGCACCGGCUAACUACGUG
rnacentral:rRNA from 1 species